rnacentral:rRNA from 1 species
UACGUAGGGUGCGAGCGUUGUCCGGAAUUAUUGGGCGUAAAGAGCUUGUAGGCGGUUUGUCGCGUCUGCUGUGAAAAUCCGGGGCUCAACCCCGGACUUGCAGUGGGUACGGGCAGACUGGAGUGUGGUAGGGGAGACUGGAAUUCCUGGUGUAGCGGUGGAAUGCGCAGAUAUCAGGAGGAACACCGAUGGCGAAGGCAGAUCUCUGGGCCGUAACUGACGCUGAGGAGCGAAAGCAUGGGGAGCGAACAGG